AUUCAGGGUUCCCAACCCUAAACAGAGGCAGGGGGUCUCCCACCCCAUGAGUCUCUUCUCUGCUGGGACCGGGCCCUGGCCCUGGAUGAGUCUCUACUCCACAGGGUCCUCAGUGCCUCUGGGUUCCCAAAGUGUCAGACCAACAGUCCCUAUGCUGAACCCGCUCCCCUGCUUCAGCCUCUGGGCCCAACGAGCAGCCCUGUCUGAAGACACAAGAACAGAGCCUCCUGCUCCUCUGACCACACUAUGCAGGGAGCACAGGGUCAGAACUAUGACCUUGAAUGACACUUCCUAAAACAGUGCCACCGGUCACUGCUGGCCAACAGGUAGUCACCACCUUUCCCCCAUACCUCUCUCCCUGCCCCUCCCUGGGCUCACAUUCUCUUUCUCCAAGGGGAAGAGCAGAGGGUCCUGGGCCUGCAGGGCUGUGAUCAGGCUGAGGAUGAUGGUCAGGAACAGAACCUUCAUCUCCAGGGAUCAGCCGCUGGCAGGUCACUGGGGUCUGGAGGAGGCUGUGCGAGUCCUCACAGCACUGCUCUUUAUGCCCAGCUCGGCCCCUGCCCAUGAACACUUGGCACUGGCCACACCCCUCCCACCUAGCAUCCCGGCCAAUUCUGCAUCAGGGGAGGUGGACUGUCAUUAUUGUUGGAAUCUAAUGAGUGACAAUUAAGUGCCACCACAGAAUAAAAGACAUAUAAUACCAUCCCUUUUUUGUGCCUCCCAGGGUGCUUACUCCAGGUGAGCCAUCUGGAUGAGGACAUUAUCAGAAGGGGCAGGGGUGCGUGUCUGCACUCCCAGUCACGGAGGGAAGGCCAAGGGCUUCCUUACCCUCCCGCCCAUCCCCCUCCCCCAGGAUCCCAGGGCUGGAUCUUCAGCCAGUGCUCUGAGAUUCUGGCUGGUUGCCAACCUAAUGCCUCAGUUCCAGAAUUUGCCAGAACGGAUUUGGUUUGGAGCAUGAGUGCAUCAGUGCAAUGCAAGGUGUGGACUAUGGUUGACAGUGCUGAUGGCCCACCCCCUCAGCCCACUGCAGCUGCAGUUCCUGCACACUGAGAGGGUCACAGCUUCCCAUCUCAAUGCCUGCAUCCUCUGUUCCCCUGUGCUUCCCAUGACACACAUGGUGACACCAGAAGUGCAGGUGAAUUCACCUACCGAG
ensembl:lncRNA